GGCCUACCAUGGUGGUAACGGGUAACGGGGUGUUAGGGCACGACACCGGAGAGGGAGCCUGAGAAACGGCUACCACAUCCAAGGAUGGCAGCAGGCGCGCAAAUUACCCAAUCCCGACACGGGGAGGUAGUGACAAUAAAUAACAAUACGGGGUUCUUUCGGAUCUCGUAAUUGGAAUGAGUACAAUUUAAAUCCCUUAACGAGGAACAAUUGGAGGGCAAGUCUGGUGCCAGCAGCCGCGGUAAUUCCAGCUCCAAUAGCGUAUAUUAAAGUUGUUGCAGUUAAAAAGCUCGUAGUUGAAUUUCGGGAUUGACACAUCGGUCGUGCCUUAAGGGGUAUGAACUGGUGUAGUCAAUUUCUCACCUUCUGGAGAACCGCGAUGCCCUUAAUUGGGGGGCGCGGGGAACCAGGACCUUUACUUUGAAAAAAUUAGAGUGUUUAAAGCAGGCAUUUUGCUUGAAUACAUUAGCAUGGAAUAAUAAAAUAGGACGGCAUGAUUCUAUUUUGUUGGUUUCUAGGAUCACCGUAAUGAUUAAUAGGGAUAGUUGGGGGCAUUAGUAUUCAAUUGUCAGAGGUGAAAUUCUUGGAUUUAUUGAAGACUAACUACUGCGAAAGCAUUUGCCAAGGAUGUUUUCAUUAAUCAAGAACGAAGUUAGGGGAUCGAAGACGAUCAGAUACCGUCGUAGUCUUAACCAUAAACUAUGCCGACUAGGAAUCAGACGAUGUACUUUUUAUGACUCGUUUGGCACCUUACG
rnacentral:rRNA from 1 species